UACGGGGGGGGCAAGCGUUGUUCGGAAUUACUGGGCGUAAAGGGCUCGUAGGUGGCCAACUAAGUCAGACGUGAAAUCCCUCGGCUUAACCGAGGAACUGCGUCUGAUACUGGAUGGCUUGAGUUUGGGAGAGGAAUGCGGAAUUCCAGGUGUAGCGGUGAAAUGCGUAGAUAUCUGGAGGAACACCGGUGGCGAAGGCGGCAUCCUGGACCAAUUCUGACGCUGAGGAGCGAAAGCCAGGGGAGCAAACGGGG
rnacentral:rRNA from 1 species